GACGAACGCUGGCGGCGUGCUUAACACAUGCAAGUCGAACGGAAAGGCCCUGCUUUUGUGGGGUGCUCGAGUGGCGAACGGGUGAGUAACACGUGAGUAACCUGCCCUUGACUUUGGGAUAACUUCAGGAAACUGGGGCUAAUACCGGAUAGGAGCUCCUGCUGCAUGGUGGGGGUUGGAAAGUUUCGGCGGUUGGGGAUGGACUCGCGGCUUAUCAGCUUGUUGGUGGGGUAGUGGCUUACCAAGGCUUUGACGGGUAGCCGGCCUGAGAGGGUGACCGGCCACAUUGGGACUGAGAUACGGCCCAGACUCCUACGGGAGGAAGCAGUGGGGAAUAUUGCACAAUGGGCGGAAGCAUGAUGCAGCAACGCCGCGUGAGGGAUGACGGCCUUCGGGUUGUAAACCGCUUUCGCCUGUGACGAAGCGUGAGUGACGGUAAUGGGUAAAGAAGCACCGGCUAACUACGUG
rnacentral:rRNA from 1 species